GACGAACGCUGGCGGCGUGCCUAAUACAUGCAAGUCGAGCGGACCUCUUCGGAGGUUAGCGGCGGACGGGUGAGUAACACGUGGGCAACCUGCCUGUAAGACUGGGAUAACUUCGGGAAACCGGAGCUAAUACCGGAUAAUCCUUUCCCUCUCAUGAGGGAAAGCUGAAAGACGGUUUCGGCCGUCACUUACUGAUGGGCCCGCCGCGCAUUAGCUAGUUGGGGAGGUAACGGCUCACCAAGGCGACGAUGCGUAGCCGACCUGAGAGGGUGAUCGGCCACACUGGGACUGAGACACGGCCCAGACUCCUACGGGAGGCAGCAGUAGGGAAUCUUCCGCAAUGGACGAAAGUCUGACGGAGCAACGCCGCGUGAGCGAAGAAGGCCUUCGGGUCGUAAAGCUCUGUUGUCAGGGAAGAACAAGUAUCGGAGUAACUGCCGGUACCUUGACGGUACCUGACCAGAAAGCCACGGCUAACUACGUGCCAGCCGCCGCGGUAA
rnacentral:rRNA from 1 species